GUGAAGGGACUCUGGUGCUCACAGCGGUCCCGUGGCCCAUGGGCUCUCCCUGCCGGGCCGGGCAGGUCAGGCCACCCUGGGCUGGAGAUGGGGAAGGAGCCUCAGGGGUCCCCUCCAGCCAUGCCCCCAGCGCUGCCUUCCAGGCUCUAUGUUUGCUCCCUACUUCAGAAAAGACACCAGAAAGCUGCUUAGAAACGGCCUUGGGACUGUGGGACAGGAGCUCACGGGUUAAUGAGUGUGGGAGUUAAUGUGUGGCACAGGGCUGAGAUGAGUACCUGUAUUCAGUGUUUGCUUCUGCGUAUCCCAUCCCCUGGGUACAUUCUACACCUAUAAACCUCAAUCAGGCACCAAUGUACUUCCAUAAAAGAGGACUUAAACCUUUCCCUUCAGCCUGUCCCAGGGAGCCAUGAACACCACAGCCUGGGCUGUGAGCAGAAGGCAAAGGGGAUCUGGAAGGAAGUUCGUACCAUGAGGAGCUGAGUGGAGCAGCCGCUCCCAUCAGCUCAGCGGGAAGCAGGAGUGAGCAGCAAUGGAAGGCAACAUGAAGUAACCUCUGGGGUGUGACCCCCUGACUGAGCUCACCAUAGAGCUUCAGGGCUUGGAAGAGGUGUCUCCAGACCAGGUGUCCUGCACAGACCUUAUCCUGCUGGUUGCCCCUUCCCAACUGCUCCCAGUUGUUUUCCUAACAUUCACUAAGCACACAGAAAAGUCCCAGGAAAGACACAAGUCUGCCAAAUGACUCUGGGAAGCUUAGCUCGUGUUCAAGUUGGUUUCUGCAGCCUGUUUCUUGGAUUUUUUUUAGCCAACUGAACACUGUCAGGAGCAACAGGACAGGCUGGAGGGGUUCUCCCGUUCCUCCCCACCACAUGCAUUGGGACACUGUGCUCCACAGUCACUCUUUUCUUUCCUUUGGCAUUGCAGGUGGCAACAGGGCUAUGCUGAACUGCCUCACUUCACUGCCACGCCCCUGCACAACCUCUUCAGUUCCAGUAAUUCCCACAUCCCAUGCAGGCAUUGAAAACCAGCCUGGAUUUUGGCUGCAAAGGGGUCGGGUUCCUGGAGAGCCUCUGGAGAGCAGGAUGGAGCAGAUCCCAAGGUCAAACUUUAGUGCCUUGAAUCUUCAGGCUCUCAAAUCCAUGGCAUAUCUGACAGGUACCAAAGCCAGGUUUAAGAGUCCAGUGUUUCCUGGAUCCUUUGGAGCCCUUCCUAGAAAUUAGCCUGGCCUUUGCCACCUCUCCUCCGGUUUGGGAAGGUCAGGGACCUGCUGCCUGUGUCCUGCUGCAGGGUCUGCCCUGAGCACGUGCCAGCCCAGUAGUUUUUCAGCAGAAUUCCCACUUCUGAUGUGUUUGCAAAAUACACUGCUGUUAAUUCUUAUGUGGUAAGCGAAUUACACUCAAAAUAUAUUUUCAUCUCAGUUAA